GCAGUAAAACGCUUUAUGCAUUCUUUCCCAAAUGGAUCAACAGCUCGGGUCACACCAGAGGGAAAGUUAAAAUCAAGAGUUUGAUGGGCAUCAGUUUGACGAGCCCUCAAGCCAGGAUUCAAAACUGUGAGGCGUUCACCCAGACAAGGUGUGCCGUCGCCAAAGUCGUUCGGCUUCCCUGCCAAAAAACUAUGAGGUUACCCAACAACAACAGCAUAAUUAAAAAUCAACAUUUUUUCAGGUCUUAUUGCUGGCGGUGCCAACUUGCUGUCAUGACAGGAGUUACUUGCUGCUCUCAGCUAGCAAAAAAGGGCCCCAAAAAAUGGUCGUCUGUGCAGCUGGGUCCAAUAAUUUAUAUUGAUACAAAAAAAAAAAAAAAACAACAAAAACAACAACCUGAUCAUUUUGACAGUUUUUGCCAAUUGGAUAUUAAAACUUGUAGGACGUUCACCUUGAUAAGGUGUGCGGUGGACCAAGAGGAAGUAGAACAAAAAGAUGACUGUCGUUAGGGUUCCCUGCCAGGACAUAACAAGGUUACGCAACAACAAGAGCAUCAUCCAAGAACGGCGUUUCUCAACUUUCAGUGCUGGUGUUUUCGACAUGGCAGGAGUUACUUGCUGAUCUGGUAUUGCAAGAUUGAUUUGUGUUUUGUCGUGAACUCUUUCAUCCCUUUAGGGCCGUUUGACCCCACACUAGGUCGUCUUCCUUCUUGGUGUUGGGCUAUUUGGUCAGCCAAGUCUGUCAAUUGGAAAACAUGUCAAAUCCAUUCUCCUACUCCAAUCAUCGUACUCUGGAACUACUUUCCUCUACCCCCGCAAGAGUGAAGAGAUGGCCCAGUGUUCAACGACCAGAACCAAAGACCCUCCCCUCAACUACUGGUGGGUCUUUUGAAUCACUCUUGGUUUGAUUUAUCACAUUUCAACUUAUCACCAGUUUGCCUUGGGAGACCCUAUACGGGGCAUAUACAACAGUAGCCCCUUGGAUCAUUCUGACAUUCCAAAGCAUCCACAUCAUUCAGGUAGUGAUUCACUGAUAGUUGAUAAGAAUAAUAAGAAUAAGAAAACCCUUAUUCGUCUCACAAUGGAGAAAUUUCCAAUUUACAGCAGCAAAAGUUAUGGGAAGAGGAAAGUAGAAGAACAAAAAGCAUAGGAGCUGCUGUAAAGGACUCAAUUUUUAUUUUUCAGCCACCCCCUAGCUCAAGUUUCUCGAUGUACAAUAAUCAUCCAUGAGAACGAUUCAAAUAUGAGGUUUUUAUGUGACCCGAGAGGCUCAUUUCCCCCUCAAAUAUUUUGGUAA